UACGAAGGGUGCAAGCGUUAAUCGGAAUUACUGGGCGUAAAGCGUGCGUAGGCGGUUUGUUAAGUCUGUUGUGAAAUCCCCGGGCUCAACCUGGGAAUGGCAAUGGAUACUGGCAAGCUAGAGUGUGUCAGAGGAUGGUGGAAUUCCCGGUGUAGCGGUGAAAUGCGUAGAGAUCGGGAGGAACAUCAGUGGCGAAGGCGGCCAUCUGGGACAACACUGCCGCUGAGGCACGAAAGCGUGGGGAGCAAACAGG
rnacentral:rRNA from 1 species